UGCUUCACGUGGCUCCAGGUUCAAAACUAGCCUGAGUUAAAUACAACUCACGUGGCAGUCAACGUGUUAAAAUCUGGCCGCAUGGGGUGAAUACACACUGGCUUUGCCAGUGGUUUCAGUUGGCCUAACUGACACCAGUCACACAUACAUCCAAGGCUGUGCUCUGCUCUGCUUUAGAGGGGGACAGAUGGUUCCACCCAGACGGCAAGGCAAGGCCAGGCUACAUGAAUCACUGCCCCAGACAGCGCGUGUUACCAUCAUGAGUGUCAGCGCUACAGCCAGGAUGAAUGACGGCCCACAGGGGACCACUAACUGUCUGCGGCUUUUCUCCUAUGAUCUGUGCACUCGCUCUGCAGAAAGACUCCCUGUGACGAUCAUCUGCACACUCUCUCAUAUCUCAGGGGUAAGAUUCCAGAAAUGGAUGGAUCUCACAUGUCCUUUGUGAGCUGAACAGCUGAUCCCCAGCUCGGGUUAAGUGGCUUGCCCUAGCACACCAAACUCAGUCCUAGUGGAACUGGGAUGAGUGUCACUGUCUUCUUUUUCCAGAAGGGUCUGUACUAUUAAAGAGGCCUGACUAUUCUUCCUGAUUGGGGUUUAAACAACAAUCAGGCAUUGGGGACAUAAGCCCUUUCACUCAGUCACACCUUGGAAUCAGUGGUUGCCCCAGUGGUCAUACAACCUGCUCCUUCAGGGCUGCCUGAGUCCAGCUGGGUCUCUGAGAUUCUCUGGAAUUAUGUCUCUAACCACUCAGAGAACAAGCAGGGGAGACAGAGAUCAAUGAAGCCAGCCCUAGUGUUAAUAAAUGUGAGGCUGAGUCUCCCCCAAAGCUCAGGAUAAAGAUGAUUACCUAGGUGGCUGGGUAGGCCCUCUAAAUGAAACAGAAAACCGCUAUGCUGCUCCCCUGAGCUCAAGCCACAAAGACAGAAUAUUAUGGUAGCAGCAGCUCAGCCCAUCCAUGAGGGAGCGAUUUCUGUGAAGGGUACUUUGCAAUUGAACAGCAGAAGCAAAAUCUGUCAACUAGAAAGCUUAGGAUUUGAAGCUCUGAAGGGCAUUUCCAAAGCUUCUUUUUUCCCUUGAGCACAAUUCCAGGAUGCACAUAACAUAGGAGCUUUCUCGUUUCUGUUUUUCUUCCCUCUUUAACAAAUAAGCUGUAGCACUAACAACAUCGAAAAGUUACUGAGCUUUUUGGUUUAAUCCUCAAACCCCCCUAACAGGUGGACACUAUUAACACAAUCUCCAUUUUACAGAAGGGAAGCUGAGACCGGGGAUGACUGUGAUAUUUGCCCAAGUCCCACAUCCCAUAAGUGACAAAGGAUUUAACAAGGAAAGGUUAACUCCAGAGCCUGGGGGCUCCAGUCCACGUGGGGCCUACGUGGCCUUGUUCGAACAGGCAGGGGUACGGAGCACAUAGCUGGCACUCCAGAAAUCUUUGAUGAAUGGAGAAUGAGUAAUUUUCAAGUUUUCUGUGUCGACUCUAUUAAAUGUAGCCUUUUCUCUCUCUCUUAGCAUCUGUCAGCUAUAUGAUGUUGCAAUUUUCUAACUUGUCUUCCUUCUCCUAGUUUCUUCCUAUUCUUUGUAGAAUAGCUGUGGACUAAAAAGGAGAUAAGUAGCUCUAUUUGCCCCACUGGGGCUCCCAUGUUUUCGUAUCUUUCAAAUCGUUCUAUUCUAACAAAUUUUAGUUAUUGGUUUGCAUGCCUCUUCCUCCAGGGCUUCUCAACUAUUGACAUGUGGGAAUAGAUAAUUCAUGACGGGGGUUAUGCUGAGCACUGCAGGAGGUUGAACAGCAUCCCUGGCCUUGGCCCACUGGUUGUCUGCAGCACCUGCCCAGCUGUGGCCACCUACAAGCUCUCCGGACAUUGCCAAAUGCCCCCUGGAGGCGACAUUCUCCACCCCACCCGCCACAGUAAGAACCACUGCUUGAAACUCUGAGCUCCCUGAAUAAUACUAACAGCAGUAACAGUAAUAACUCUGCUUUCGUGAACAUUCACUUUGUGGAAAGCAUGCUUUAAAGCCUUUCUCAUGAAUUACUGCAUUUAAUCCUCUCCACUCCCUAAGGGCCGAGGAUUUUAGCCACGUUUCACUGGUAAUGAAACCAGAGUGCAGAGAGGUUAGGAACUUGUUCAUCUUUUCUAUCGCCAACACCUGGCAUAUUACCUGGCCCAGCAGGACUCCAGUAGCAAUUCAGAGAAUGAGUGGAUGGAUGGAUGAGACGGUCCCCUCCAUCUUUCCUCACUUUUCAGGGACAGUGGCCCAACAGUGUCCUCCAGAGCCCAACAGUACUCCAUAAAGUGGUUUUAAUGUGCCAGAAAUCCAUCCCUAGCUAGGGCUCUUCUACGCUAUCCAGGCAUUUUAUGGGGGUCAUGUUAUUCUGGGUACUCUGUUUUUGUUAUUCAUAAUACGAAUCACACCUUACAGCUUAGCUUUAUGAGAAGUUCACUCAAUCCAGCCAAGAGACAUGACCAAAUAAAUGCCAUCAAUCUAUUUUCUACCCACCAGUCCUUCCUUUCAGACUUGGGUGAGAUAUAAUAGUACCAUUUCUCCAGCUUAGAACCCAGCACGCUGAAAACCCUUCUGAACGUGAAGACAAAUUACUUUUAAAUGCUGUGUUUCCCGUGAGCACUAGACACAGUGAUGCUCAGAGGCACACAGUGUAGGAACGCUUCCCUGGUCCCUACGUGUGGACGCCUUCCUCCUUAUGAAGCUAUCAGGGAACGGAAGGGCAAACCAUACUGAUUUUGUUCUUGAUUGACACAGAUUCAGCAAUGAAACCUGCUUAAUCUAUAUAGUGAGAAAGACCACAGAUAAGCACCAGUAGAAUCCUUAACCCAUAGUAGAUUGAUCAGAAAGUAUGCCAGGUCCAGCACUGACACUCGAAGGGUACAGGAGGAAGAACUAGAGAAA